UACAGAGGUCCCGAGCGUUGUUCGGAUUCAUUGGGCGUAAAGGGUGCGUAGGUGGCGCUGUAAGUGGGGUGUGAAAUCUCAGGGCUCAACCCUGAAACUGCAUUCGAUACUGCGCGGCUAGAGUGCUGGAGGGGAGACUGGAAUUUACGGUGUAGCAGUGAAAUGCGUAGAUAUCGUAAGGAAGACCAGUGGCGAAGGCGAUUCUCUGGACAGCAACUGACGCUGAGGCACGAAGGCCAGGGGAGCAAACGGG
rnacentral:rRNA from 1 species